GCGAGCGAGAGCUACAGCAAGACUGACUCGGGCCAGUGAGAUGGGUCUCUGAGUAAAAGCUGUGCUGUGCAAGCCUGACAGCCUGAGGCUGACCUCCAGCACCCAUAGCGGAAGGAGAUAACCGAUGUCUCUGAGGCUGUUCACCAUUCAAGGUUUGCACCCCUCCCCAACACUGGCAGCCUGCGGACCAAGCCUCCAACACAUGAAGCAAGGGGACACGGCACAUCCAGGUCACAGCCGUGAGUAUUUAUGGGGACUGAUUCUGCUGCCUCUUCAGGAAACCCCUGCCCGCCCUGGUGCUGCUUCUCCUGUCAUUCUUCAGGGGCCUCUGCUCUUCAGUCAAUCUUUGCUAAAGCUCCGAGGACCUCUGCAGGCGGCAUCCUGGAUUUAUGGGACCCCUCUUCUCUGACUUCCUCAUUUCUUCCUGGUUUUUGAAGGAGUUUGGCGGCCAGGACCCUCCCCGUGGACACCGUUCUGAAGGAGCUGGGUCUGGGAAGUCGGAGCUUAGUUUUCCAAGCCAGGCUGAAGGAAGCUGAGCCAGGAUGACAAGAGUGGGAACAUUUGGCUUGUCCUCGCCCGGCUGCCCGGAAUUGGGAGGCCGCUCACUCCUGUUCUGGGUGAAUCUGAUGAGCGCCACGUUUUGCUGCAGGUCCACGGGCUGA